GACGAACGCUGGCGGCGUGCUUAACACAUGCAAGUCGAACGAAGAGCGAUGGAAGCUUGCUUCCAUCAAUCUUAGUGGCGAACGGGUGAGUAACGCGUAAUCAACCUGCCCUUCAGAGGGGGACAACAGUUGGAAACGACUGCUAAUACCGCAUACGAUCUAACCUUGGCAUCGAGGAUGGAUGAAAGGUGGCCUCUAUUUAUAAGCUAUCACUGAAGGAGGGGAUUGCGUCUGAUUAGCUAGUUGGAGGGGUAACGGCCCACCAAGGCGAUGAUCAGUAGCCGGUCUGAGAGGAUGAACGGCCACAUUGGGACUGAGACACGGCCCAGACUCCUACGGGAGGCAGCAGUGGGGAAUCUUCCGCAAUGGACGAAAGUCUGACGGAGCAACGCCGCGUGAGUGAUGACGGCCUUCGGGUUGUAAGGCUCUGUUAAUCGGGACGAAAGGCCUUCUUGCGAAUAGUUAGAAGGAUUGACGGUACCGGAAUAGAAAGCCACGGCUAACUACGUG
rnacentral:rRNA from 1 species